CUCUACAACCCUUUGUGAACAUACCUAUAACUGUUGCUUCGGCGGGUAGGGUCUCCGUGACCCUCCCGGCCUCCCGCCCCCGGGCGGGUCGGCGCCCGCCGGAGGAUAACCAAACUCUGAUUUAACGACGUUUCUUCUGAGUGGUACAAGCAAAUAAUCAAAACUUUUAACAACGGAUCUCUUGGUUCUGGCAUCGAUGAAGAACGCAGCGAAAUGCGAUAAGUAAUGUGAAUUGCAGAAUUCAGUGAAUCAUCGAAUCUUUGAACGCACAUUGCGCCCGCCAGCAUUCUGGCGGGCAUGCCUGUUCGAGCGUCAUUUCAACCCUCAAGCUCUGCUUGGUGUUGGGGCCCUACAGCUGAUGUAGGCCCUCAAAGGUAGUGGCGGACCCUCCCGGAGCCUCCUUUGCGUAGUAACUUUACGUCUCGCACUGGGAUCCGGAGGGACUCUUGCCGUAAAACCCCCAAUUUUCCAAAGGUUGACCUCGGAUCAGGUAGGAAUACCCGCUGAACUUAAGCAUAUCAAUAAGCGGAGGAAAAGAAACCAACAGGGAUUGCCUCAGUAACGGCGAGUGAAGCGGCAACAGCUCAAAUUUGAAAUCUGGCCCUAGGCCCGAGUUGUAAUUUGCAGAGGAUGCUUUUGGUGCGGUGCCUUCCAAGUUCCCUAGAACGGGACGCCAGAGAGGGUGAGAGCCCCGUACAGUUGGACACCAAGCCUUUGUAAAGCUCCUUCGACGAGUCGAGUAGUUUGGGAAUGCUGCUCAAAAUGGGAGGUAUAUUUCUUCUAAAGCUAAAUACCGGCCAGAGACCGAUAGCGCACAAGUAGAGUGAUCGAAAGAUGAAAAGCACUUUGAAAAGAGGGUUAAACAGCACGUGAAAUUGUUAAAAGGGAAGCGCUUGUGACCAGACUUGCGUCCGGUGAAUCACCCAGCUCUCGCGGCUGGGGCACUUCGCCGGCUCAGGCCAGCAUCAGCUCGCUGUCGGGGACAAAAGCUUCAGGAACGUAGCUCUCUUCGGGGAGUGUUAUAGCCUGUUGCAUAAU
rnacentral:misc_RNA from 1 species